UACGUAGGGCGCAAGCGUUGUCCGGAAUUAUUGGGCGUAAAGAGCUCGUAGGCGGCUUGUCACGUCGGAUGUGAAAGCCCGGGGCUUAACUCCGGGUCUGCAUUCGAUACGGGCUGGCUAGAGUGUGGUAGGGGAGAUCGGAAUUCCUGGUGUAGCGGUGAAAUGCGCAGAUAUCAGGAGGAACACCGGUGGCGAAGGCAGCGCCCUGGCUGUGAAUAAAGCUGACACUGAGGCACGAAAGCUGGGGGAGCAAACAGG
rnacentral:rRNA from 1 species